rnacentral:rRNA from 1 species
GCUGGCGGCAGGCUUAACACAUGCAAGUCGAGCGGGCGUAGCAAUACGUCAGCGGCAGACGGGUGAGUAACGCGUGGGAACAUACCUUUUGGUUCGGAACAACACAGGGAAACUUGUGCUAAUACCGGAUAAGCCCUUACGGGGAAAGAUUUAUCGCCGAAAGAUUGGCCCGCGUCUGAUUAGCUAGUUGGUGAGGUAAUGGCUCACCAAGGCGACGAUCAGUAGCUGGUCUGAGAGGAUGAUCAGCCACAUUGGGACUGAGACACGGCCCAAACUCCUACGGGAGGCAGCAGUGGGGAAUAUUGGACAAUGGGCGCAAGCCUGAUCCAGCCAUGCCGCGUGAGUGAUGAAGGCCCUAGGGUUGUAAAGCUCUUUUGUGCGGGAAGAUAAUGACGGUACCGCAAGAAUAAGCCCCGGCUAACUUCGUGCCAGCAGCCGCGGUAAUACGAAGGGGGCUAGCGUUGCUCGGAAUCACUGGGCGUAAAGGGUGCGUAGGCGGGUCUUUAAGUCAGGGGUGAAAUCCUGGAGCUCAACUCCAGAACUGCCUUUGAUACUGAGGAUCUUGAGUUCGGGAGAGGUGAGUGGAACUGCGAGUGUAGAGGUGAAAUUCGUAGAUAUUCGCAAGAACACCAGUGGCGAAGGCGGCUCACUGGCCCGAUACUGACGCUGAGGCACGAAAGCGUGGGGAGCAAACAGGAUUAGAUACCCUGGUAGUCCACGCCGUAAACGAUGAC